rnacentral:tRNA from 1 species
UGGUGUAUCGCCAAACUGGUAAAGGCAUUAACUUUUGACGUUAUCAUAUAAAGGUUCGAAUCCUUUUACACCAG